GUGAUCAACCCUAGUCGAGGCUCUGGAGCCUCCAUUCAUCACGUUUCUGUAGAUUAUUUCCUAUUUGCUUAGUUUUCGCUUUGAAGCUUCUGAUUUAUUUAGUUGUGACUGUUUCAUGUAUAAAUUUAUACAUGGAAAGCCAGGAAGACAAAAAUUGCAAGUGUCAUAAUGCGACCGUUACAAAGUCCACUGUGAUUGCAUUUAAUUGCGACCAAAGCCGUUGGAUCAGGCUCGCUGAUAAGCGUGCCAACAGCCUGAGGCGAGACGUCAUUUAACUGGCAAGCACCCGUUCCCAUAAAAUAAAUUUCUUUCAGGCUUUAUAAAAGGAUAUGUACCACAUAUGUUGCUAAUUAACAUUUUCAUCUGAAAUUUGUAACAAGAACGAAAGGUAAACAAUCUUUUGAACGUUAUCAUUUUAAUGACUAUUCGACCAUUGAAUACUACCGCAUAAAUUUAAGUCAUCCGGAAACCUUGAGAGAUUUUUAUUUUAAUUCUAUAGAGUCCUGCUCUGUCUUCACAUGAUUGCAUAAUUAUAUCUGGACUUAAGGGGAGAUCACUGGCAAUUUUGUCAGGUUGGAUGGUAAAAGACUAAAUCGCCAUUGAACGCUACCGUAUAAAUUUAAGUCAUCCGGAAACCUUGAGAGAUUUUAAUUGUAAUUCUAUAGAGUCCUGCUCUGUCUUCGGUUCAUUACAUAAUUAUAUCUGGAAUUAAGGGGGCAUCGCUGGCAAUUUUGUCAGGUUGGAUGGUAAAAGGCUAAAUCGCCGCGAUGAUCCUAACUUUUUCAUUUGUGCCGAAAUGCCUUUUCCGCCUGGCAGCGCCCUUUCAUGCGACCCUCGCCCCUAAAUCCCCUGGCCCAUUGUGGCCCUUCGUCUCCACGACGUUAUUUUCUCGUUCGUCGGAAUAGAUGGAUUCGCGAACGCGCGUUUACUUUAUGCCUUUUCAAGCGUGUAUCAUCGGCAGACAUUGCGCGUGCGCUUUUGUAACGCCGGCACCAAAGGCUAUAGAUGCUAGGUAAGUGCCCCAUUCUCUUCUCCAAUCAGCGUUAACACUCGCGGGGACAGCAGUCGUUGAGACCGUAUAAUUUAAUCGCUUCGAUUUGGUCCGGUUAAGUUGAACGUUAACGAUAGUACGCGGCUGUUUAUAAUAGGACGAUUCCACCCUUAACGAAUACGUUGGUGCAUCGAGGAAUCCCGGAUUGGAUUAAUUUCCAUACUUUAGUAGAUUGAAAUGAUUUUAAAAAAGAAAUCGACUGGUGGCGUUGCUAGUUAUUGUUUUAUGGUUUGAAUAAAUUAUUUCAUAGAAUAGGAAAGACACUGGUGGCUCUGAUUUUAUUUAGGCAAUUCCGUACGAAACACUACUCCUCUCGAAGUAUUAUAUGUGAAUAAACACAAUUGUACAUUUAUUGCUCAGGAUCUAUAUACAUUUUUUAUGUUUAAUUGUGAUUAUUGUACUUUCAUUUGAAAUAGAAAAAUCGGAUAUGUUCCAUACCACUUUAACGGGAAAACCCUUUAUUUUUAUGAUGAAGAUAUUUGUCUUUCGUAAAACAUUGUGGAAAAGGAACGGGCCCCUCAAACUAGAGUCUGAGGCCAAGAGGUAACUAAUCAGAAAAUCAAUGUGUCAAGAGAUUUCGUUCAAAGAAGAAAGAAGAAGAAAACGAAUUAGUAAAGUUGAGGGGAUCCCAAAAUCAAACAACAGAAUAUUGAUGUCCCGAACUCUCUGUGUAAACUGCGAAAGUCCUUUCAUGUAUCGACUGUGCUGUGCUCGAAUUAAACCUAGAGUGCGCUGUUGUACCGUCAUCCGCCGGUAAUGCAGGUCCGAAGACGCAAAAAUUCCCUAGAUCUCUCAUGAUAACACGACAGGAUUA